rfam:TPA: Bos taurus chromosome 3, whole genome shotgun sequence.
UCCCUGGUAGCUCAGCUGGAAGAGAAUCUGCCUGCAAUGCAGGAGAUCCUGGUUCAAUUUCUAGGUCAGAAAA